CUGCUCAUAACGAGUCCGAAAAAACCAAUAAACACCAAGCAUGUUUCGUCAAAAGCACUUGAUUAAAUAAUCUCAGAUCUCGAAAGGCCAUACCUCCUACUCCUUUAUGUCUUGUCAUCUUAUCCCAAGCCAAUGUGUUCUCUUCCUAUUUGUUAGAAAUUAAUUAGUAUAUUAAUUUAAGGGAUGUGUCCAACCCGAAUAGUGGUGUCUCCUCUCUCUCUUCAUUGCACCUGUUCUGGAGAGAUGUCUCCGAACAGGCACCUCUUCUUCGCACCUCUUCCAGAUGUAUAUAAACUUGAGAAUCAAUAGAAAUCAGGACUGAUCGACCAUUCACUUUCAUUCAAUCUCGUUUUACUCUAACACGUUAUCACGCACUUCGCUCUCCAUUAAAGAGAUAGGCCACGACAAAAGAAGAACAGCGAAGAAUAGGGGCAUCAGUCCUCGUCGAUAGACGCGAUCCGAGCCUCCUCGCGCCACCGAUUCCUAGCGCCGCCUCGCCCCCGCCGUCGUCGCGUCUCCGGCAAGACAGGACCCCGCCAUGCCGAUCUCAUCGUCCCUCUCCGCGCGCCUCGCCCCCGGUCCUGCGCCCAUGGCCGCGCCCGCACGGUAGGGCCCUUACGUCCGCCCCAGGCCGAGGCAGACACAGCCGCGACUCACAUCCUCACGACGUGGUCGCGCUCGCGCCAGCGGCCCUCCCUGCAGCGGCCGCCCCGCAACGCGCUCGCCACGAGCUCGUCCGGCCCGUGCGAGCCUGAGAGACACGCUCGCGUCGGCUCCGCCUGCGCCAAGCCUUCACGGCGGCGGCGGCGGUAGCCCGAGUUCCGCUCCCGGUCCCGACUCCACGGCUGCGUCGUCUUGCCGAAAUCGGCGUCAACGGAAGACCGGUGCUAACCUUCCAUGGCGGCCGUACCGAAUGAACGCUGCCGCGGUCCUGCUAUCCGCGACCUCUCUGGCGCCCAGCCCGGAGACUCCCUCUUCGACACAUCGCCGUUGAUGCGGCUGAUAUGCUAUGGCGGCUGCCGCCUUUCGCGGGAUUGGGAGACGAUGCUGGCUGGGAUCUCUCCUGGUCGCUCGUCCCUUAUCCGUUCGGCUGACCAGAGCGGUCCUAGAUGGGCUGCCCGUGUGGCUCAUUUGCAUGCGGUGGAGCCAUCAACACCUCCUGCUUAUUCACAAAAUUGCUCUCAUAUUCGAGCUUUUUAGCACAGUUGAUUCCAUUCCUUUUUCAUUCGUCCUCCGAGAUGGCGACCCAAACGAAUCAAUUUGAUAAGCGCAAAGGAACACAAUCCCUUACAUAUCCCAUUGAGCCCGCAGGCUUAAAAUACUUUGCAAAUUAACUGUUAUACUUUCUGUGAAU
rnacentral:lncRNA from 1 species